GACUCAAUCUGAUUCAGCACUGGUGCUGCCAAUCCAUGCUAGCUUUCCGGCAGCAGGUUGAGUUGUGUGUCGGUCCCGCCCUCGCAGCCGAGUGUGGUUGGUGUUUAAUCAGCGGCGGAUAGCGUUCCGGGCCGAGGUACGGGGUUGGUAGCAUGGUUGACGUGUUCGGAAUAUUCUCCGUAAACGGUGGGAAUAAGGCCACUAUCUGAGAUUUUCAAUGCCGAAGGAAGCGCCGGCUAUGUACAGGUGACACACGUGUUUGAAAGCCUCACCAACCGUCAAGAAGUGCUGAAAUCGACGGUCUCCUCCAUGCUAGAAGAUGGGAUGCUCAUGGAGCUACCUCCUCACCUUCAUUGCCUGAUUGUCCACGAUCAUUUUCAACUGGAUGUGAUAAUGGAUAUGUAACUAAUAAUAAAAUGUGGGAAAUUUGACUACCUCAACCUUUUCCAUGGACGUCCUUCUCCAGUUGUCUGCUGGCUCAAGGAGGGGAACGUUGCUGUCAGCCGGCAUGUCCUUUUAUCACACCAACAUAUCUUUUUACACAAGAAUUACAGAAAUAAAUCAGGUCAGAAGUU